CGGCGCGUCGGCGGCGAGGCGCGGCUCGUGCUUGUCAUGCGCGGGGGGCAGGGCAGUCGACGCCGGCGGUGCGAGUUCGUCGGCGCGUUGCGCCGG
rnacentral:tRNA from 1 species